ensembl:lncRNA
CGAGAACCGAUACUUCGGUACCAAGGCGGUACCAACAUUCUUAAAACAUGACGGUACUUGUUUUUCUGCACUAUCUUUGGAACCGAUUCUAAUGGCGGUACCGAGGUUGCAAUUCAUCCGGACCUGAUGGGGCAGCAAAUACGCGCAAGUGUUUUAGUCAGUCCACAAGUGGUGACGAAGAAGAAGAACGCCUACAAGCACACGGGAAAAACUACAGAAGAUUAGCUUAACUUAACAAGUUUAGCUUCGCCCCGACUCGUUGAGAGGAAAAGAGAGGAAAGCUAGUAUCAGUUUCCGGUGUGCAACCAAUGCUAUUGUUCAUUUCAAACAAAGCAAGGAAACACCAGGAGUUUGGCAAAGCACCUGAAAGACGGUCCAAUAUUAUGUUUGUUAGAGGCAGCUGGCAUUGUUGCAGUGAAACCAGCUAAUGUUAUGCUCCGUGUAAUGUUAGCGAUGGCCUGUUAUUUGUUAACGACACUAACACAGUCAGUGUGUUUAGAUAGACAACAAUAAUCCACUCUUAACCCGAUUAAGACGAUACUUUGAUUAAGAAACUACCAUGUAAACAGCAAUUUUUAAUUACCUUAAUCUGAUUAAGGUCAUACUCGAAGUAAACACUAAUCAAAUUAAGACAUGUGGAGUACUCCUGUUUUAGUCCCAUUAUCGACCUGUAUUACAGACAUGUAAACACCUUAAUCACAUUAUUAACAUCGUGUGAGAGUUUUUACCGCAUUUUGCGACAGGACACGAUCACACACGGCAGUGCUCAAUAUUUUACGACAAACAAGAAAGUACGGCUGCAUUCCAAACCGCAUACUUGCCUACUAUAGACCUGUAGUAGAUGUAUCUCGGCUAGUAUAUAGAAGGUAAGUACGCGGUUUGGGACACAGCCUACGGCUUUAAACAGCUGUCUAUUUGCUCGUACAGCAUGGCAAGUAAUUAACUGAACUUAAAGCGUUAGUAAAAAAAAAAAAAAAAAAUACCCGAACUGUAUACGGUACCAUAACGAAGACGAACUGUAUGUUGAUAUGUGAAAUUCUGGAGGGACGUCGGACAGCGUGGCGCGGUGACGUAAUGACGUGUGCCGUUCACCUAAUUAUGUUCUAUAACAUGUAAAACGGGUACAUGAAAGGAGUAUUCUAAAAGCGACUCAUGUAAACACCUUAAUCACAUUAUUAUCUUACUCAGAGUAAGGUCAAUAAUUAGAUUACUGCUGUCCAUGUAAACAUAGUCAUUGCAGUGUUAUAAACUACCUCCGAAUGGGCCACCAUGCAUUGCUAUUCAGCCCGUGUCCUGUUAGCUAAAUGUAGCCUCAUGUCACUAAUAAUUAUUCACAUGUUCAUGCUUUUAAUAACUCUUUUUGGCCUGCCACCAUAUCAGUGAAUUUAAACUAAUGCUUACAUUCAGAGUAUAAGGUGUUUGUGUGUGUGUGUGUGUGUGUGUGUGUGUGUUACAUCCUCCCUUUGCCAGUAUCAGCCAGAGGAGGAUGUACUCCAGGAGAGUUUUUUAUUUUAUUUUAUUUUUAUACCACACUGCGGUAUCAACUUCAGUAUCAAGUAUCAUGUACUUUUGGUGGUAUCGGUACCGACUACUAGAUUUUUGGCAUCGUGUCAUCCCUAGAGUAUAGUAGUUAGUCAUUAAAAGAGCGGGUUCAGGUGUAAUUUCAGGUGCAUGUAUUGGUCCAGAAAAACACAAAGUAAAAAAUAAAACAACAACAACUAAAAAAUUAUAUGAAACUAUCACUCGUUAUGUUGCAUAAAUGCAUAAUAACAUUGUACAACAAAAACUAAGAAGUAUUUCAGUCUACUUCUUCACUAUAAAGUCCCAAACAGGAAGUGCCAAAGCAACAGCAUGUCCACAUGACUAGUGCAGAGUUUGCUAAUGCAAAUAGUGUAUGGUUUAGAGGGUGCGGUUUCAUUUGAAAGAUAAAAAUGACGAGCCUCCCAGCAGUACCAAUGACUUGUAAAUUUCAACUUCAACAAAAUGGCAGAAGUAAGAAUGUCAUGUGAAAUUGCAAAAAGACUGUAAUGGUGAUUAAUGGCAGCAGAUUCUUUAGCAUGCAGUCCAUAUUGCAGUCUCAACAUAUGAAGAAAAACAACACGCUUGAAUACACAUUUUAAAAACUUUUUCAUGUUUAGUGCAUUUCCCUUGUUUUCCUUUAGUCCAUUCUUGUCUAUAGCUAUAUAAACACAUGAAACCAUAAUAAUAUAUUAU